GCCUCGGUAGCGUAGUGGUCAAGACGCUCGCCUGGUAAUCAGGAGGGCGUGGGUUCGAUCCCAGCCGAGGUA
rfam:Asian citrus Psyllid, Diaphorina citri - Florida Strain, whole genome shotgun sequence.